rnacentral:lncRNA from 1 species
UUCCCAGGCUAGGGGUCGAAUCGGAGCUGUAGCCACUAGCCUAAGCCACAGCCACAGGAAUGCUGGAUCCUUAGGCCAUUGAGUGAGGCCAGGGAUCGAACUUGCGUCCUUAUAGAUACCAGCCAGAUUUAUUUCCUCUGAGCCAUUAUGGGAACUCCUGCUUAUCCAUUCUAAGUGUAACAGUUCAUUUGUCGACAGUUUCUAUGUUGGUAUGAUCCACAGCAGAAUGAGAGUAAGUUGAGAGAAAUUUUGUGAUUUAAGACAAGGCAUGCAGAGUUGGGCUUGGCUUUAAAAAAAAAAAAAAAAAAAGUCAAGUAGUUCCAGACCAAAAAUGUCAUCCAUUCAUACCUUUUGUUUCCUAUCGGCCAAUUCAAAUUUGGUAACAACUUAGAAUAAAACACAACCUUUGGGUAAGUGACCUCAGGUGGACUAAGGUUUUUGUAGAGCAAUGAAAACUCCAUAAAUGACUGCUUGGAAUAAAGGCCAAUUUGGUGGUUGGGAAUCACUGCCAUCUGCUCAUGCCUGCUGCCUUUGCAGCAUCUGGGGAACGUCCGUGGUGGAGCAAGAUCCAUUACAAGCCUCAAUGGAGUGACUCACCUCCUCUCCUGGGUAGAAAUAAAGGAUGGAGAAGGGAUACCUCCUUUUCUAAAUACAUGAAAAUAUUGAAGAAAAUGAGAAUAGGAAUCUUUCUUGACGUCAUUGAUAGCACCUAAAAACCAGGAAGGCUAACAAAAGGCUGGGAGGGGGUGGGAGAAUUUCUGUAAGGAUGGUUCCUUGCUGGGAAUGAGGAGGAGUCGCAGUUCUAAUCUUGGUUUCGGCCCACGGAUUGCUUGAGGAUAAGACACUGAAACCCUCCAGAGUUUUAAUUGCUCCAACUGUGAGUAGAGAAAGCUUAAUUAGGUGAGUACAAAUAGAGCAAAUACGUAACUCCUAUGAGAAAGUUCUGGAUGGUAAACGCCCACCAGGUAGACCGGUUUUCUCUCGGAGGACAAAGUUUAUCAAGCACCUACUUUGAGUCACAUUUGGGCCACAUCCCUUGCUUUACACAAACUGUGCAGGCCCCUGGAAUGAAGGCUGGAUCUUAGACAUACUUGAUUUUUCUCAGCACAGUGGUUGGCUUGGCCAUGCUGUUUGUUGAACUGAAUUGAUUUUGCAUAAAUUCUCAUACAAAUUAAGGGAAAACAAAUUUCUCUGUUGGUGGUGGAAGGGGAUGACGGUAGUAAUCACGCAAAGAAGGUCAAGAUUAGAUCCUUAUGAAAAGGGAGGGUUUUUUUCUCCCCUCAUAAUAUGACUGAAUUUUCCUUCAUUUUAUUUUUACUUUUAAAGAAAACUCACUGAAGUGCAUUUGAUUUACAAUGGUGGUUCAUUUCUUCUGUACAGUGAAGUGAUUCAUUUUUAUAUAUAUUCAUUCUUUUUUGUAUUCUAUUCCAUUACUGUUAAUCUCAGGAUAUUGAAUAUAUUGCCCCGCGCUGUACGAUAGGACCCUGUUUAUCCAUCCUAUAUAUAAUAGUUUGCAUCUGCUAACCCCAAACUCCCAGUCCAUCCCUCCCCUACCUACCCCCUUGGCAACUAUAAGUCUAUUUGCUCCAUGCAUGAGUCUGUUUUGUUGAUAAGCUCUUUUAUGUGGUAUUUUAAAUUCCACAUCUAAGUGAUAUCAUAUGGUUUUGUCUUUCUCUUUCUGACCGACUUUGCCAAGGAUGAUAAUCUCUAGGUCUAUCCGUGUUGCUGCAAAUGGCAUUAUUUCUGAAUUUUCCUUCAUUUUAGGAUUGCUUAUAGUGGGGUGUGAUAGCUGGCUGAAUCACCUGGCAAGGAAGUGACAUAAAAUUUCAACGCUACAGCAUGGCAAUCUAAGACAGUUUCCUAAUGAGCUGAAUGAUGGCAACUCUGUGAAAUAUUUAGCAGGAAUUGUGACAAAUCCCAAUUCUUUUUACUGUAUCCUAGCACUUUCCUGGUCUCUUUGGCAGCCCAGCUGCAGGAGAGGUUAAUUAACAAACGCUUCAGGUGAUUCUGAUACCUGCUAACGUUUGGGAAGCCCUGUUCUUUGAUAUUUAACACUCUGAUGAGCCACUAUGGGUUAUUCUUAGGUCCACUUUGAUUUUGAAAAUAAAAGAUUCCAUUAUAUAUUAACUUGGAUAUCUAAACUUCAACACACCAAAAUCAAAUUUCUUAUAUUCCUAGUAGCUAGUGCUUAACCUAAUGUGGGCCAUCAUUCAGGUGGGGCAAUUUCAGUCCACAUCAGUCAUUGUGGCCAGAGGACCUGCUUGGUAUAAAGCAGGGUGCUGGGUGCCAAGGGGUUUGGGGUGGGGGGUGGAACACGAAUGAGUAAGACUAGUUCAUUCCUUCCAGGGUCUCAGAAUAAAGUAGGGUAUUUAAAAACAUAAACACUUAGCAUAAAUACACAGCAUCUCAUAAGGGCCCUGGAGGAAUGCGAAGCCAGGGAGGGGACAGGGGUUGAGCUCAAAUAGAAACGCGUGGUGCUGUGGGAGGUGGGUGAGCCUGGCCAAGGCAAGUCCUUUUUCUGCGCCCCAGUUUCCUUGCUUCUAGAAUAAUCUGAGAUGAGGCUGGAACUGGGAUUUGGAAAUGCCCUUUGCUUUCUUGGAGGAGUUGGAGGAAGACAAAUUGGAGCAACUCUGUGUCUCUUCUGCUCAAACCAGAACAGCAACUUGUGUGUGUUUAUCAGCCCCCCUGUGUAAGUUUUUGUUUGGCGAGAGGAAAGAUUUCACAGCUGAAGACAAAAAUAACCCUGGGACUAGAUGAUGUCAGGUUUGCUUUAGCUUUGUGGUUCUGUGGCCUUUUCUUCUUCAUAAUGUUCCAGGAGGAUGCAUUAGUAGGAAGAGAUACCUUGAAUUAUUGCGGGCGUGGGGUGGGGUGGAAUUGUUAUGGACCUACAAGGUCUAAUAAUGUGCCUAUCAAACACAGCUUCUAUUUAUUACUCAAAGUGGGAUAUAAAAAUAGUGAAUUUCUGGAGUUC